rnacentral:rRNA from 1 species
CCUACGGGGGGCAGCAGUGAGGAAUAUUGGUCAAUGGGCGCUAGCCUGAACCAGCCAAGUAGCGUGAAGGAUGACUGCCCUAUGGGUUGUAAACUUCUUUUAUCUGGGAAUAAAGUGCAGUAUGUAUACUGCUUUGCAUGUACCUUAUGAAUAAGGAUCGGCUAACUCCGUGCCAGCAGCCGCGGUAAUACGGAGGAUCCGAGCGUUAUCCGGAUUUAUUGGGGUUAAAGGGUGCGUAGGCGGGUUGUUAAGUCAGUUGUGAAAGUUUGCGGCUCAACCGUAAAAUUGCAGUUGAUACUGGCAGCCUUGAGUACAGUAGAGGUAGGCGGAAUGCGUGGUGUAGCGGUGAAAUGCUUAGAUAUCACGAAGAACUCCGAUUGCGAAGGCAGCCUGCUGGACUGUAACUGACGCUGAUGCUCGAAAGUGUGGGUAUCAAACAGGAUUAGAUACCCUUGUAGUC